rnacentral:rRNA from 1 species
AUUGAACGCUAGCGGGAUGCUUUACACAUGCAAGUCGAACGGCAGCGCGGACUUCGGUCUGGCGGCGAGUGGCGAACGGGUGAGUAAUGUAUCGGAACGUGCCCAGUAGCGGGGGAUAACUACGCGAAAGCGUAGCUAAUACCGCAUACGCCCUACGGGGGAAAGCCGGGGAUCGUAAGACCUUGCACUAUUGGAGCGGCCGGUUUCGGAUUAGCUAGUUGGUGAGGUAACGGCUCACCAAGGCGACGAUCCGUAGCUGGUUUGAGAGGACGACCAGCCACACUGGGACUGAGACACGGCCCAGACUCCUACGGGAGGCAGCAGUGGGGAAUUUUGGACAAUGGGGGCAACCCUGAUCCAGCCAUCCCGCGUGUGCGAUGAAGGCCUUCGGGUUGUAAAGCACUUUUGGCAGGAAAGAAACGUCGCGGGCUAAUACCCCGUGGAACUGACGGUACCUGCAGAAUAAGCACCGGCUAACUACGUG